rnacentral:rRNA from 1 species
GACGAACGCUGGCGGCGUGCUUAACACAUGCAAGUCGAACGGUAAGGCCCCUUCGGGGGUACACGAGUGGCGAACGGGUGCGUAACACGUGGGUGAUCUGCCCUGCACUUCGGGAUAAGCCUGGGAAACUGGGUCUAAUACCGGAUAGGACCACGCUCUGCAUGGAGUGUGGUGGAAAGCUUUUGCGGUGUGGGAUGGGCCCGCGGCCUAUCAGCUUGUUGGUGGGGUGAUGGCCUACCAAGGCGACGACGGGUAGCCGGCCUGAGAGGGUGUCCGGCCACACUGGGACUGAGAUACGGCCCAGACUCCUACGGGAGGCAGCAGUGGGGAAUAUUGCACAAUGGGCGCAAGCCUGAUGCAGCGACGCCGCGUGGGGGAUGACGGCCUUCGGGUUGUAAACCUCUUUCAGUACCGACGAAGCGCAAGUGACGGUAGGUACAGAAGAAGCACCGGCCAACUACGUG